rnacentral:rRNA from 1 species
UACGUAGGGUCCGAGCGUUGUCCGGAAUUAUUGGGCGUAAAGAGCUCGUAGGCGGUUUGUCGCGUCUGCUGUGAAAUCCCGAGGCUCAACCUCGGGUCUGCAGUGGGUACGGGCAGACUGGAGUGCGGUAGGGGAGAAUGGAAUUCCUGGUGUAGCGGUGGAAUGCGCAGAUAUCAGGAGGAACACCGAUGGCGAAGGCAGUUCUCUGGGCCGUAACUGACGCUGAGGAGCGAAAGCGCGGGGAGCGAACAGG